CUCGACAGCUACUUCCUGACCUCCAUCAGUACUUGGGUUUUUGAUGCGUUGAGAGGGGUAUAGCUGUGAAAUCUUCUCGAGGGAGAGCCUCGUCGAACUCUGCGGUUCGGACUUCUCUGUCUACGAGCCCGGGGAGGAGUCUAGACACGCUUGUGUCCGGAGGGGGUUCGAGAACGUGGCCGAGCUUCACUCGGCCCUUUUUCAACUGCGGGCUUGCUGGAACCUCCCACCUGCCGCUCC
rnacentral:lncRNA from 1 species